rnacentral:rRNA from 1 species
UCUACGGGAGGCAGCAGUGAGGAAUAUUGGUCAAUGGGCGCGAGCCUGAACCAGCCAAGUAGCGUGAAGGAUGACUGCCCUACGGGUUGUAAACUUCUUUUAUAAAGGAAUAAAGUGAGGCACGUGUACCUUUUUGUAUGUACUUUAUGAAUAAGGAUCGGCUAACUCCGUGCCAGCAGCCGCGGUAAUACGGAGGAUCCGAGCGUUAUCCGGAUGUAUUGGGUUUAAAGGGAGCGUAGGUGGGUUGUUAAGUCAGUUGUGAAAGUUUGAGGCUCAACCGUAAAAUUGCAAUUGAUACUGGCAGGCGUGAGUAUAGUUGAGGUAGGCGGAAUUCGUGGUGUAGCGGUGAAAUGCUUAGAUAUCACGAAGAACUCCGAUUGCGAAGGCAGCUUACUAAACUGCCACUGACAUUGAGGCUCGAAAGUGUGGGGAGCAAACAGGAUUAGAUACCCUUGUAGUC